CUGUGUGUUUGCAUAUCUGUCCUGCCUCUCUGCUCCCAGCCGUUAAGAGGCCAGUGUUGAUCAGUGGCUGUCCAGGCCUUUCAGAGCCACUGACACGCCGGCAGCACAAUGAUGAUGUCACUGAUUCCACUGCUGGCCACCCUGGGGCUCCUUGUUCAGGGUUCAUCAGGACAAAUCAUCGUGACUCAGUCUCCUGGAUCUCAGUCUGUUGUUCCAGGACAGACUGUCUCUCUCAGAUGUAAAACCAGUACGAGUGUUAGUGGCUGGCUCAACUGGUACCUUCAGAAACCUGGAGAAGCUCCUAAACCCCUGAUUUAUUUAGCUACAACCCGUCCGUCUGGAGUUCCAGGUCGUUUUAGUGGAAGUGGAAAUGGACCGAGUGACUUCACUCUGACCAUCAGUGGAGUUCAGGCUGAAGAUUCAGGAGUUUACUACUGUCAGCAGGGUUACAGCAUCCCGUUCACACAGUGAUACAACGUCAUACAA